rnacentral:rRNA from 1 species
GAGUUUGAUCCUGGCUCAGAUUGAACGCUGGCGGCAGGCCUAACACAUGCAAGUCGAGCGGAUGAAGGGAGCUUGCUCCUGGAUUCAGCGGCGGACGGGUGAGUAAUGCCUAGGAAUCUGCCUGGUAGUGGGGGAUAACGUCCGGAAACGGGCGCUAAUACCGCAUACGUCCUGAGGGAGAAAGUGGGGGAUCUUCGGACCUCACGCUAUCAGAUGAGCCUAGGUCGGAUUAGCUAGUUGGUGGGGUAAAGGCCUACCAAGGCGACGAUCCGUAACUGGUCUGAGAGGAUGAUCAGUCACACUGGAACUGAGACACGGUCCAGACUCCUACGGGAGGCAGCAGUGGGGAAUAUUGGACAAUGGGCGAAAGCCUGAUCCAGCCAUGCCGCGUGUGUGAAGAAGGUCUUCGGAUUGUAAAGCACUUUAAGUUGGGAGGAAGGGCAGUAAGUUAAUACCUUGCUGUUUUGACGUUACCAACAGAAUAAGCACCGGCUAACUUCGUGCCAGCAGCCGCGGUAAUACGAAGGGUGCAAGCGUUAAUCGGAAUUACUGGGCGUAAAGCGCGCGUAGGUGGUUCAGCAAGUUGGAUGUGAAAUCCCCGGGCUCAACCUGGGAACUGCAUCCAAAACUACUGAGCUAGAGUACGGUAGAGGGUGGUGGAAUUUCCUGUGUAGCGGUGAAAUGCGUAGAUAUAGGAAGGAACACCAGUGGCGAAGGCGACCACCUGGACUGAUACUGACACUGAGGUGCGAAAGCGUGGGGAGCAAACAGGAUUAGAUACCCUGGUAGUCCACGCCGUAAACGAUGUCGACUAGCCGUUGGGAUCCUUGAGAUCUUAGUGGCGCAGCUAACGCGAUAAGUCGACCGCCUGGGGAGUCCGGCGCCAGGGUUAAAAUUCAAAGGAAUUGACGGGGGCCCCGCCCAAGCGGUGGACCAGGUGGUUUAUUUGGAAGCAACGGGAGGACCUUUCCCUGGCCCUGGCCAUGUUGAGAACUUUCCAGAGAGGGAUUGGUGCUUUGGGGAAUUCAGCCCCAGUUGCGCCAUGGCGGUGUUCAGCUGGGGUGGUGAGAUGUUGGGUUAAGUCCGGUAAGGAGCGCAACCCUUGCCUUUGGUUACCACCACUUGGGGUGGCCAUUUUAGGGGGACUCCGGGUGCCAACCCGGAGGAAGGGGGGGAGGAGGCCAGGUCUUCUUGGCCCUUCGGCCCAGGGCUCCCCACGUGUUCCAAUGGUGGGUCCAAAGGGUUGCCAAGCCGGGAGGGGGAGUUAUUCCCUUAAACCGGUUGGUAUUCGGGUUGCCAUUUGGCAAUUGGACUGGGGGAAUUGGGAAUCGUUGGUAUUCGUGAUUCAGAAGGUCUCGGGGAAUAGGUUCCCGGCCUUGGUCCACCCCGCCCGUCCCACCAUGGGAGUGGGUUGCUCCGGAGGUAGUUGGUCUACCCCCAGGGGGACGGUUACCACGGAGUGAUUCAUGACUGGGGUGA